rnacentral:tRNA from 1 species
ACCUGACUAGCUCAGUCGGUGGAGCAUGUGACUCUUGAUCUCCAGGUCAUGAGUUAGAUCCCAUGUUGAGUG